rnacentral:tRNA from 1 species
GGCCUGAUGGUCUAGGAGUAUGAUUCGUUGUUAGGGAGUUAAAGCCAUUCGACGAGGUCCCGGGUUCAAUUCCCGGUCAGGCCC